UACAGAGGGGGGCAAGCGUUGUUCGGAAUUACUGGGCGUAAAGGGCGCGUAGGCGGCCCGCUAAGUCGAACGUGAAAUCCCCGAGCUCAACUCGGGAACUGCGUCCGAUACUGGUGGGCUUGAAUCCAGGAGAGGGAUGCGGAAUUCCAGGUGUAGCGGUGAAAUGCGUAGAUAUCUGGAGGAACACCGGUGGCGAAGGCGGCAUCCUGGACCGGCAUUGACGCUGAGGCGCGAAAGCUAGGGGAGCAAACGGG
rnacentral:rRNA from 1 species